UACAGAGGUCCCAAGCGUUGUUCGGAUUCACUGGGCGUUAAAGGGUGCGUAGGUGGUUAGGUAAGUCCGAUGUGAAAUCUCCAGGCUCAACCUGGAAAUGGCAUUGGAUACUAUUUAGCUUGAGGAGUGGAGGGGGGACUGGAAUUCUCGGUGUAGCAGUGAAAUGCGUAGAUAUCGAGAGGAACACCAGUGGCGAAGGCGAGUCCCUGGACACUCCUGACACUGGAGGCACGAAAGCUAGGGGAGCAAACAGG
rnacentral:rRNA from 1 species